rnacentral:rRNA from 1 species
CUUGAACGCUGGCGGCAUACUUACACAUGCAAGUCGAACGGCAGCGCGGGGGCAACCCUGGCGGCGAGUGGCGAACGGGUGAGUAAUGUAUCGGGAACGUAUCCUGUAAAUGGGGGAUAACCAGUCGAAAGAUUGGGUAAUACCGCAUACGCACGGAGAGUGGAAAGUAGGGGAUCGCAAGACCUUACGUUAUAGGAGCGGCCGAUAUCUGAUUAGCUAAGUUGGUGGGGUAAAGGCCUACCAAGGCGACGAUCAGUAGCUGGUCUGAGAGGACGACCAGCCACACUGGGACUGAGACACGGCCCAGACUCCUACGGGAGGCAGCAGUGGGGAAUUUUGGACAAUGGGCGAAAGCCUGAUCCAGCCAUGCCGCGUGCAGGAAGAAGGCCUUCGGGUUGUAAACUGCUUUAGUCUAGGAAAAAGGGGUGCGAGGUUAAUACCCUCGUGCUUUGAUGGUACUGGAAGAAUAAGCACCGGCUAACUACGUG